GAGGUAAAUUUAUAAUUGAGCUUCUAACUCAAUACUUAAUAGUUAUAAACUAUUUUGCCUCU
rnacentral:tRNA from 1 species